GUUGUCCGGAAUUAUUGGGCGUAAAGAGCUCGUAGGCGGUCCGUCACGUCGGGCGUGAAAACCCAGGGCUCAACCCUGGGCCUGCGUUCGAUACGGGCGGACUAGAGUUCGGUAGGGGAGACUGGAAUUCCUGGUGUAGCGGUGAAAUGCGCAGAUAUCAGGAGGAACACCGGUGGCGAAGGCGGGUCUCUGGGCCGAUACUGACGCUGAGGAGCGAAAGCGUGGGGAGCGAGCAGG
rnacentral:rRNA from 1 species